UACAGAGGGGGCUAGCGUUGUUCGGAAUUACUGGGCGUAAAGGGCGCGUAGGUGGCCUGUUAAGUCGAACGUGAAAUCCCCGGGCUCAACCCGGGAACUGCGUCCGAGACUGGCAGGCUCGAAUCCGGGAGAGGGAUGUGGAAUUCCAGGUGUAGCAGUGAAAUGCGUAGAUAUCUGGAGGAACACCGGUGGCGAAGGCGGCAUCCUGGACCGGUAUUGACGCUGAGGCGCGAAAGCCAGGGGAGCAAACGGG
rnacentral:rRNA from 1 species